rnacentral:rRNA from 1 species
AUGAUGCAGUGUGAAAAGUUUUUUCGGUACAAGAUGGACCCGCGUCUGAUUAGCUAGUUGGUGAGGUAACGGCCCACCAAGGCGACGAUCAGUAGCCGACCUGAGAGGGUGACCGGCCACAUUGGGACUGAGACACGGCCCAAACUCCUACGGGAGGCAGCAGUGGGGAAUAUUGCACAAUGGGCGCAAGCCUGAUGCAGCGACGCCGCGUGAGCGAAGAAGUAUUUCGGUAUGUAAAGCUCUAUCAGCAGGGAAGAUAAUGACGGUACCUGACUAAGAAGCACCGGCUAAAUACGUGCCAGCAGCCGCGGUAAUACGUAUGGUGCAAGCGUUAUCCGGAUUUACUGGGUGUAAAGGGAGCGUAGGCGGUUUUACAAGUCUGAUGUGAAAGCCCGGGGCUCAACUCCGGUAUUGCAUUGGAAACUGUAGAACUAGAGUGUCGGAGGGGUAAGUGGAAUUCCCAGUGUANCGGUGAAAUGCGUAGAUAUUAGGAGGAACACCAGUGGCGAAGGCGGCUUACUGGACGAUUACUGACGCUGAGGCUCGAAAGCGUGGGGAGCAAACAGGAUUAGAUACCCUGGUAGUCCACGCCGUAAACGAUG